UCACUAUUAAGCACUCCAUGGACCGAGGGGAUCUUGAAGAACAUCCAACCUUUCUGCAUCAGUCACCUGGGAAGCUACAUAAAAAUGCAGAUCCCGGGGCCCAGGGCCUUUGCCUCAGUGGGCCAGGCCUCAGGGCCUGCAUCUGCCCCAGAUUCAGAGUGCCAGGCGGUCUGUGGAAAAGGCUGGGCUAUUCCAGCCUCCCACUCUACUUGCAUUUCAGAGCUCCCGUGGCCCCAACGUGCGCCGGCUCCAGGGGUCACCUUGCCAGGUGAGGCCCCAAUUGAGUCUGACAUUGUCUUCACCUGAGAGCACCCUGGCGGCCACUUUGGUUUUGAUCACAGGCAGCCCGGCACAGGGCAGCCGCGGCCUAUUCACCUGAACUGCCAGCCUGCGGCCCAGAUGCUAACAACACAGAGUAUGAGAGAGUGUCCUAUCCAGCUAAGAACAGGGUCUCGCCAGGACCCUGGGCCUGAACAGAUUUAUGUAAGAAGAAAGGCAACGUAGAUUUGGCAGAGCCAGUCUCCCUAACGGCAAUGUUGCAGGCAACUUUGAAGGUAGGCGGAAACUGUCCAUGAGGGGAUGGGAACCUAGUCUCCCCCUAGCGCGGAGGCCAGCCUGGCGUGGGUGAUCACACAGCUGCUAGUUUGGAAGAAUUUGUUCAAAGCAAGGAACUUCUGCCCACAGUCAUCCCUUCCAUCUCUCCACUUCUACCCUUGGGCCUAAGACUUCACUGCCUCAGCUGUUGAGGAGUAGACUUCUCUUGACAUCAUUAAUGUGCCCAAGAUGCCCUGUUUGCACAUAUUUGUGUGCCUUCCAAUUAAAAUGAUUCAUUAAACCUCUGGUGGAGUUCAUUUUUAUUCUGCAAUAAGAACACUCAAAUAAAUACAUUCAGCCAUGGAAAGAAUCCUUUGAGCAAGCCCAUGUCCUAAUUUUGGUUUGGGGAAUCUAGUCCUGAAGUUGUCAUCUGGGAAUGUGCUGAAGAGACUGGAGGCCAGUUUUGCAAGGGAGCUGAGCAGGCCGACCUGACUCUGGCUACUUGGAGUGGGGCUGAGCAGCUUGGCUCUGUCCGGCCCUGGGGACAGCAUGGCAGCUCCUGAGGACUCCGCAGGCCCUGCAGCCCUGUGGCCCAGAAGCAGGGGCUCCCUCUCUCCUUUGGGAGAUCGUUGUGGAAUGUAGUUAACAUCAGCCUCAGCAAACACCACACUCCGCAUACCGUGAUGCUGCCUGGGGACAACCCGCAGCUAUAGUUUCCAUCCUGAGUGACUGGGAAGUAGCAUGUGUCACUCCCAACCGUGGGUCUCCACAGAGGAGGCCAAGUGGCUACUGGAUGCACCUGGAUGGGGCUCACGCCCAGUCUGUUCCGGGCUCUGUGACCUGAUGAUUUGGGGGUCCUUGAUGCCCCUCUGAGUUGCAGUUGUUUUCCAGUGGAAGACAUCUCUCAGAAACCUACCAUGCUACCCAAUUUGUAUUUCUAAGUCUUGCCAGCAAUCCCACUCAUUCCUGUUUUACAGACAAGGAGAUUGUUGCUCAGAGAGAUUCAUUGACUUGACC
ensembl:lncRNA